rnacentral:rRNA from 1 species
UACGGGGGGGCAAGCGUUGUUCGGAAUUACUGGGCGUAAAGGCUCGUAGGCGGCCAACUAAGUCGGAUGUGAAAUCCCAGGCUCAACUUGGAACUGCAUCCGAUACUGGAUGGCUUGAAUUCGGGAGAGGAUGCAGAAUUCAGGUGUAGCGGUGAAAUGCGUAGAUAUCUGGAGGAACACCGGUGGCGAAGGCGACAUCCUGGACCGGUAUUGACGCUGAGGCGCGAAAGCCAGGGGAGCAAACGGGAUUAAGAAA